CGUCUGUAGGAACAGGGGCUGCUUUGAGCCUUCCUGAGCCCUCCGGGUGUGAAGCUGCAGUGAGAACUUGUGCAAACACACGCGCUGUUAGCCGGCAGCUGAAUUCAGCAGAAAUCACCGGCUCUGCCUUCGCAAGGAAAACAAAGCCGGUGGAACGAGGCCGGGCAAAUGGAACAAAAGCGCCUUGCUAACUUGGUUAUUUUAACAGAUUUACUGGAAAGCACAGAGGAGGCAGUGCUGGGCUCAGCUGGCACACAGCGUUUCUCCUCACGGCUCCAUCGCUGCUCUCCGUGGAUCUGUGAGACCGACAAACCCCUGGCUGGUGGCAGCACUUGGCCAUUUCUGCUCCGAGCUGCCUGCAGCAUCCAGUUCUUGUUUGGGAUUUUUCCCUCCGCCCCCACUGCAUUUCACAGCAUUCUGCUGAGCAGGAGGGGGCUCUGAGCAGGGAGAUUCACCUGCAGCAAACCCGAGGAGUUCGGGCAGGGAUGGAGGGAGAAGGAGCCCCCAAGCUCCAACCAGCCCUGCAGGGGCUCUCACCUCCUCCAGAGCAUCCUCGGGAUCUUUAGCUGGUCAGAAUGACUUCGAGAAAUGCUGGAAAAUCUCUUUUCUUAGCCCGGGUGCUUGAAGAAAGAGUCAGAACUCUUCAUUUCUCCGUCUCAAGGUUGUUUAUUGUGUCUUAUCUAUAAAAAACGUUCUUUUGUUCUGCUGAGUCAGUCAGAGGCACUCUGCCUGCCCCCCGGGGCGGUGUUAUGUUUUUAUACUAAAAACUAAAUGUACAAUAUUCACAAUUACUUUCUAAUACUUAUCACCUGUGUUAGACAGUGAGCUUCUACUCUAAAUUAAUGUAGAAGUGCUAACAUCACAGCAGAAGAUGGAGGCCAAGAAGAAGAAGGAGAAAGGCUGGAUGUGCUUAGAUUCUUCCAUUUUCUUUUUCUGAAUUUCUGUUCUAAAAACUUCAAAAUCUACUUUUUUUUUUACUUUGUGAUAAAUUUGCUAUCAUUCUACUUAAUUACUAAUUAAUUAAUUAAUUAAUUAUUCUAAAUUUACUAUCAUUCUUAACUACUUAAUUUGUCAUGGCUUGCAGAUCUUCAUCUAAGGUUGGUAAUAAUUCAAACCACAGGCAUUUUGGGCUCCGUGCCAGGGUCUCUGAGCCCCCUGGCAGGGUCUGGGC
rnacentral:lncRNA from 1 species